CGGAAAGUUGUUUUUAACAAUUUAUUUAAAAUUAAAAUAUUUAUUUAAAAUUUUUAAUAUUAACGAUAUAGGAAAUAUGUAUUUUACACCAAAACAGAGAAACUGACAACAAACAACAUAAGAGGAGAAAGAGUUACAUCAAGGAGACACACGUGUGUUUGGGAUACAUAUCAAUAAAAAUCUAAUUUUAAAAUAUGUACGAAAGUCGAGGAUCGCCUGUGAUUACUUUAUUCAUAAAAUUUAAUAAAAUGAUAAAACAUAAAUAUUUAGCAAUAACAUGUAUAUAUUCCUUUCAGAUCGUUUCUUACAGGAAGAGAUUAGGAAAAAAGCGUAUAGGUAUAACUGCGGCUGGAGUGUUCACCAUUACUAGGAAAAGUAUAUCCAAGGUAAAAUGUAUUCAAGUAAAAUUUAUAACUGAUCAUCAUCUAUUCAAUUUAAUAAAGAGUAUUUGAAUUUUUAUAUUUUUAAUUGAAUACAAGUGCACGAAAUAUAAAUCGAAAUAUUUUCUUUUAUAGUUAUUACAUUCGACAUAUUCAUAUUCAUCGAGUGUAGCUGGAAUCAAAAAUGGGAUAGAUGUAUGCCAAAACGCUUACAUGCAUAUUCAAAUUUGAAGAAAACUAUAUAUAUUUAGCAGUCAAAAGUAAAAUACAGUACUGUAAAAAUUUGUACUGUUGUGUUUUUCUGAUCAGAAUUGUAUUGGACUUUAAACAUUCUUAUAUUAGAACUCUAUUUUUAGUAUUUAUACUUCUAUGAUCAGCAAUAUAUAUCACCAGUUACAGUUCGUCUUCUGCAUACCACAGUGUGGUCCUCGAAAUCGUCGGGUGAACUAUGACAGGUUUAUGACUUUACCGCGGUGAUGCCGCGUUUGCGAGUAAGGAUAGGUAAUGAGGCAAAAGACUG
rnacentral:lncRNA from 1 species